AGAGUUUGAUCCUGGCUCAGGAUGAACGCUAGCGGCAGGCCUAAUACAUGCAAGUCGGACGGGAUUGGGUGGUAGCUUGCUACCAUUCAUGAGAGUGGCGCACGGGUGCGUAACGCGUGAGCAACCUGCCCCUGUCAGGGGUAUAGCCCCUCGAAAGAGGGAUUAACACCGCAUGAGACAGUAUUCCCGCAUGGGAGAGCUGUUAAAUAUUCAUAGGACAGGGAUGGGCUCGCGUGGCAUUAGCUAGUUGGUAGGGUAACGGCUUACCAAGGCGACGAUGCCUAGGGGCUCUGAGAGGAGAAUCCCCCACACUGGUACUGAGACACGGACCAGACUCCUACGGGAGGCAGCAGUAAGGAAUAUUGGUCAAUGGGCGGGAGCCUGAACCAGCCAUGCCGCGUGCAGGACGAAGGCCCUACGGGUCGUAAACUGCUUUUGCAGGGGAACAAACACCGCUACGCGUAGCGGCUUGAGUGUACCCUGAGAAUAAGGAUCGGCUAACUCCGUGCCAGCCGCCGCGGUAAUAC
rnacentral:rRNA from 1 species